rnacentral:tRNA from 1 species
GGUUCUAUAGUGUGGUGGUCAUCACGUCUGCUUUACACGCAGAAAGUCCUGGGUUCAAUCCCCAGUGGAACCA